rnacentral:rRNA from 1 species
AGUGAACGCUGGCGGUAGGCCUAACACAUGCAAGUCGAACGGCAGCACAGGAGAGCUUGCUCUCUGGGUGGCGAGUGGCGGACGGGUGAGGAAUACAUCGGAAUCUACUCUGUCGUGGGGGAUAACGUAGGGAAACUUACGCUAAUACCGCAUACGACCUACGGGUGAAAGCAGGGGACCUUCGGGCCUUGCGCGAUUGAAUGAGCCGAUGUCGGAUUAGCUAGUUGGCGGGGUAAAGGCCCACCAAGGCGACGCUCCGUAGCUGGUCUGAGGGGAUGCUCAGCCACACUGGAACUGGGGCACGGUCCAGACUCCUGCGGGAGGCAGCAGUGGGGAAUAUUGGACAAUGGGCGCAAGCCUGAUCCAGCCAUACCGCGUGGGUGAAGAAGGCCUUCGGGUUGUAAAGCCCUUUUGUUGGGAAAGAAAUCCAGCUGGCUAAUACCCGGUUGGGAUGACGGUACCCAAAGGAUAAGCACCGGCUAACUUCGUGCCAGCCGCCGCGGUAA